AGAUAUUGACAUAAGUUUCAUUGCAAGAUCUCGAAAAGAACCACUUUCUGCUUUGGCAUCUGAGUCAGCACUAUUUAAUUCCUCAUCACCCUUGAAUCACAAGCCCAAGUCUCGUACCCCAAGUCCCUCAAGAAUAAUAACUUGCAAUAUAUGGACUUCUUGUGUCACAGACCCCUGGACAGUACCUAAAGUGCUCGUAGAUUAAUAUAAUGGUGCUGUAUGUAAAUGUUAGAUGUUUUGCUUGCAAGUUCUGUGCAAGUAAUUAUGUACCAUAGAACAUAUCUGUCAUAUGUAAAAUAUUAAACUAUAUGUUGUAAACUCUGCUAAUUAUAAUAAAGUAUGCUGAAUUUGU